UGCAGGCUGAAAUCCGCCUGCAUGAAGUUGGAAUCGCUAGUAAUCGCGGAUCAGCAUGCCGCGGUGAAUACGUUCCCGGGCCUUGUACACACCGCCCGUCACACCAUGAGAGUCGGGAACACCCGAAGUCCGUAGCCUAACCGCAAGGGGGCGCGGCCGAAGGUGGGUUCGAUAAUUGGGGUGAAGUCGUAACAAGGUACC
rnacentral:rRNA from 1 species